rnacentral:rRNA from 1 species
GACGGAGGGGCAAGCGUUGUCCGGACUCACUGGGCGUAAAGGGUGCGUAGGCGGUUUGGUGCGUCGGCGCUGAAAUCCGUGGGCUUAACCCACGGGCGCGUGCCGAUACGACCUGACUUGAGGCUCGGAGAGGGUGGGAGAACUCCUGGUGUAGUGGUGAAAUGCGUAGAGAUCAGGAAGAAUACCUGUGGCGCGAAGCGCC